UACAGAGGUCCCAAGCGUUGUUCGGAUUCAUUGGGCGUAAAGGGUGCGUAGGUGGCGCCGUAAGUCGGGUGUGAAAUUUCGGAGCUUAACUCCGAAACUGCAUUCGAUACUGCGGUGCUUGAGGACUGGAGAGGAGACUGGAAUUCAUGGUGUAGCAGUGAAAUGCGUAGAUAUCGGGAGGAACAUCAGUGGCGAAGGCGGCCCUCUGGUCCAGUACUGACACUCAAGUGCGAAAGCGUGGGGAGCAAACAGG
rnacentral:rRNA from 1 species